AUUGAACGCUGGCGGCAUGCCUUACACAUGCAAGUCGAACGGCAGCACGGGAGCAAUCCUGGUGGCGAGUGGCGAACGGGUGAGUAAUAUAUCGGAACGUGCCCAGUCGUGGGGAUAACGUAGCGAAAGCUACGCUAAUACCGCAUACGAUCUAUGGAUGAAAGCGGGGGGAUCGCAAGACCUCGCGCGAUUGGGAGCGGCCGAUAUCAGAUUAGGUAGUUGGUGAGGUAAGGCUCACCAAGCCGACGAUCUGUAGCUGGUCUGAGAGGACGACCAGCCACACUGGGACUGAGACACGGCCCAGACUCCGUACGGGA
rnacentral:rRNA from 1 species